GACGUAGGAGGCGAGCGUUAUCCGGAUUCACUGGGCGUAAAGCGCAUGUAGGCGGCUGGACAAGUCGUGUGUUAAGCCCUGGCUCAACUGGGAGGUCAUGCGAGACUGUACGGCUGGAGGCAACAGAGGCACGUGGAACUCCGGUGUAGCGGUGGAAUGCGUAGAGAUCGGGAAGAACGACCAGUGGCGGAAGGCGAACGUGCUGG
rnacentral:rRNA from 1 species